GACGGCUAUAACAGAGGAUCCGGACUCCCAAUGAAAAAACGAAAAGAAAAAUAAAAAAGAAGAAACAAAGAAAUUCCUACGCAAAAAUCCAACUUCUCCCAUUUAAGACAGAAGCAUUUAUCGUACUCUCAAAAAAUAAAAAAUAGAAAAAGAAAAAAAAGCUGUCAUCAUUCAAUGAGUUUUAGCUGUUUUCAAGGAAAAGAGAUACAGCUGUUUGGAUUAUGAGAUGUUUCCGUGGUUGUGCAAGAAUUCGCAUAGUUGGAAGGAAUUUGCAAUGAGGAGGUGAACAUUGAUGGUGACAGAAUGCAUUCGAAAUUGCUUCACAAGAGAAUAUCAGGAAAUUUCAAGUUGCGGAAAUUUCACAUUAGAUACACCUUUUAACAUUGGAAGGAUGCCCGAUGAUGCUGCAUCAAUUUCUCAAAAUGAAGCAGAAGCUACAGCGGCUAAGCUGCAACAGAUGCAAAGGACUGCUGAGACCAGUGGUCGUGAUGAAGUGAAGGUCACGCGGUGUCUUAGGCGCAGAGCGAGUACAGAUUAUGGGAUAUUUGAUAGUUGCUGCGAUGAGGAGUCGGAUCACGAUCAGUCUGCUAAAGUUAAAGACAAAAGACAAAAGCAAGCGGAAGGUCAAUCUCACAGAUGUCAUGAGACAAAAUAGAUGAGGUAAAGAAGAAAUUGGAGAUUUAGAGCAAGAAGAAUUUGGAACUUGAGUUGCAGAACAAAUUGUCGAAGCUCAAAAAUCUUAGUGCUGAUGCUUUACCUCUGCAAAGUCUCCAAGAAAAUCUUAGCAUAAUAGAUAAGACCUUGGAGAAGGUUCGUGAGUGGAUCUCGACACUACGUAAGGUUGCUAUAGGUUCAGUUCCUCAAGCAUAUGACAACCUAUGCAGCUCAUUGCCGUCUUCAGAUCCACAAAAUAUACAGCUGGACUACCCUUUAUCUUUCAACCCUCAAUCAUGCUUUUUUCAGCUCUCAGACAUUCAUUCCCUUUUCCCAAGAGAAUACCCUCAUAAUCCUUUGAAGUCGAUGACUUCUACCCAAAACAGCUACAUCAGUGACAUUUCUAGCUUCUUGUCCCUUGCUAGUCUUCCCAAUUA